GAUGAACGCUGGCGGCGUGCCUAAUACAUGCAAGUCGAGCGAACAGACGAGGAGCUUGCUCCUCUGACGUUAGCGGCGGACGGGUGAGUAACACGUGGAUAACCUACCUAUAAGACUGGGAUAACUUCGGGAAACCGGAGCAAAUACCGGAUAAUAUAUUGAACCGCAUGGUUCAAUAGUGAAAGACGGUUUUGCUGUCACUUAUAGAUGGAUCCGCGCCGCAUUAGCUAGUUGGUAAGGUAACGGCUUACCAAGGCAACGAUGCGUAGCCGACCUGAGAGGGUGAUCGGCCACACUGGAACUGAGACACGGUCCAGACUCCUACGGGAGGCAGCAGUAGGGAAUCUUCCGCAAUGGGCGAAAGCCUGACGGAGCAACGCCGCGUGAGUGAUGAAGGUCUUCGGAUCGUAAAACUCUGUUAUUAGGGAAGAACAAAUGUGUAAGUAACAAUGCACGUCUUGACGGUACCUAAUCAGAAAGCCACGGCUAACUACGUG
rnacentral:rRNA from 1 species